UAUAAAUUCUCCCAAAAUUUCUGCAUUUGUCUCUCCUCCGCCGCAAAGCUUCUUCCUUGUCUUUAUUCUUAAUUUAUAGUUGUUUUGUGGGUAGGGCAAUUUCAACCCAACAAAUAAAGUUUGGUAUUCUUUUGUUUAUUUCAUUUGAACCCUAAUUGGUGCCGCCGUAAUCGGCACAAAGUGCCGGUCCACCAUUCAUACCUCUAAUCCAAAGCUCCCAACACAAAGUUUAGCUUUCCAGAAGCAGCCCCUUUUACAGCCAUCUUGAAAUUCAGAGUCCCUCCCCAAAAUCAUCAAUGAAAUUAUCUCAAUAGGAGAGAUGACUACGACUGGUACGAGAAAUUUUAAGGAAAAACGGAUUUCAAAGAGGCGGCGACUGAGUAGACAUGGGCCCAAUUGGUCGGAUCUCCCCUUCGACAUCCUUGAACGUAUAAUUGGACGUUUGCGUUGGGUAGAUCGAAGCCGGAUACGAGCAGUUUGCAAGGCUUGGUCAGUCCCAAACACUUGUAUUCCUGCUAUUGGUGAACUCCCCUGGGCAAUGAAAUUUUGUUGGCGUUAUGCCUCUUUGUAUCUAAUACAAGGUGAGUGCCGGCUGCUGGACCCUCUUUCCAGAGAGUACCUUGUCGAAGAAAGGAGCAGAGGACUAGAGUAUCUACUUUUCCUUGAUGCACGACCUUGUGCUUCUUUAUAUGGGUGGGUUCUUUUCAAAGUGUA